rnacentral:rRNA from 1 species
UACGUAGGGUGCAAGCGUUAAUCGGAAUUACUGGGCGUAAAGCGCGCGUAGGUGGUUCAGUAAGUUGGAAGUGAAAUCCCCGGGCUCAACCUGGGAACUGCUUUCAAAACUGCUGAGCUAGAGUAUGGCAGAGGGUGGUGGAAUUUCCUGUGUAGCGGUGAAAUGCGUAGAUAUAGGAAGGAACACCAGUGGCGAAGGCGACCACCUGGGCUAAUACUGACACUGAGGUGCGAAAGCGUGGGGAGCAAACAGG